AACGUAGGUGGCAAGCGUUAUCCGGAAUUACUGGGCGUAAAGGGUGUGCAGGCGGGGUUGCAAGGGGUGUAUGAAAUAUCCCAGCUUAACUGGGAGGGGUUAUGCCAGACUGCAACUCUAGAGGACGAGAGAGGGGGGUGGAAUUCCGGGUGUAGUGGUGAAUUGCGUAGAUAUCCGGAGGAACACCGGUGGCGAAGGCGGCUUCCUGGACCGACACUGACGCUGAGGCGCGAAAGCUAGGGGAGCAAACGGG
rnacentral:rRNA from 1 species